rnacentral:rRNA from 1 species
CCCUUAGAUGUUCUGGGCCGCACGCGCGCUACACUGAUGCAUUCAACAAGUUUUACCUUGGCCGAGAGGCCUGAGAAAUCUUUCAAAUAUGUAUCGUGAUAGGGAUAGAUUAUUGCAAUUAUUAAUCUUGAACGAGGAAUUCCUAGUAAAUGCAGAUCAUCAUUCUGCGUUGAUUACGUCCCUGCCCCUUGUACACACCGCCCGUCGCACCUACCGAUUGAAUGAUCCGGUGAAGCCUCGGGAUUGUGCCCAGAGAACUUUAUUGUGAUUUGGGUGUGAGAACUUGUCUAAACCUUAUCAUUUAGAGGAAGGUGAAGUCGUAACA